UACGGGGGGGGCAAGCGUUGUUCGGAAUUACUGGGCGUAAAGGGCGCGUAGGCGGUGCGCUAAGUCGGAUGUGAAAACUCUGGGCUCAACCCAGAGCCUGCAUCCGAAACUGGCGUGCUGGAGUUCUGGAGGGGGUAGCGGAACUCCUGGUGUAGCGGUGAAAUGCGUAGAUAUCAGGAGGAACACCGGUGGCGAAGGCGGCUACCUGGACAGAAACUGACGCUGAGGCGCGAAAGCUAGGGGAGCAAACAGG
rnacentral:misc_RNA from 1 species